UACGUAGGGUGCGAGCGUUGUCCGGAAUUAUUGGGCGUAAAGAGCUCGUAGGCGGUGUGUCACGUCGGCCGUGAAAACCUGCAGCUUAACUGUGGGCGUGCGGUCGAUACGGGCAUCACUGGAGUUCGGCAGGGGAGACUGGAAUUCCUGGUGUAGCGGUGAAAUGCGCAGAUAUCAGGAGGAACACCGAUGGCGAAGGCAGGUCUCUGGGCCACUACUGACGCUGAGAAGCGAAAGCAUGGGGAGCGAACAGG
rnacentral:rRNA from 1 species